AUGCCACCAGUUCUGGAGAGUGAUAUGCAUAGCAGGGAAUAUCUUGCGGAACAGAAACGCAAGGGUGAGGCGUAUUUGAAGGAAAGAGAUGCAAGGAUUGCGGAACGCAAGGCUGCGGAGCGGCAGUCUCUUAAAGACAUACAAAGCUUAGCUCGUAGCCUUGUAUACCCUAGUGCCUCUAAUGCGCAACCGACACAAAAUACACGAGGUGCUGAUGAUCGCAGUGACUCCGAGUAUGAACCAGAUGCUGAAGAGGAGGCCCAUGCAGAGGAAGAGGAUUUGAGAGAUGAAGAGGAGGUCUCUGUUGUAAGUCCAAAGCAAUGGCACCUGAAGGUUCCACCAUGCCAAAAACGAAAAAGCGUGUCAGAUCCAAAAAUAGUGCAGCUGCUACCUCAAGAAUAA
rnacentral:rRNA from 1 species